GGAGCCGGCCAGGCAACCGCCGCGCGAAGGCAGCGGAGGAAAGUCCGGGCUCCGCAGGGCAGGGUGCCAGGUAACGCCUGGGGGACGCGAGUCCACGGAAAGUGCAACAGAAAGCAUACCGCCUGCCGGGCUCGAGGCCCGGCCGGUAAGGGUGAAAUGGUGCGGUAAGAGCGCACCGCGCGGGUGGCAACAUGCCGCGGCAAGGUAAACCCCACCCGGAGCAAGACCAAAUAGGGGAGCGCGCGGCCUUCGGGCCGCAGGUGUGGCCCGCACCGGCUCCCGGGUAGGUCGCUCGAGGUGCGCGGCGACGCGCAUCCCAGAUGAAUGGUUGCCCUCGACAGAACCCGGCUUACCGGCCGGCCUCCCUCU
rnacentral:RNase_P_RNA from 1 species